AUGAACAGCAAAGGUCAAUAUCCAACGCAGCCAACCUACCCUGCGCAGCCUCCUGGGAAUCCAGUAUACCCUCAGACCUUGCAUCUUCCUCAAGCUCCACCUACACGGAUGCUCCAUCUGCCUCCUCAGAGCUCUAUUGUCCGAGCUUUGUGCACCCAGGGGCUGCCACAGUCCCCGCCAUGUCAGCUGCAUUUCCUGGUGCCUCUCUGUAUCUUCCCAUGGCUCAGCCUGUGGCUGUUGGGCCUUUAGGUUCCACAAUCCCUAUGGCUUAUGAUUCAGUUGAUCCCAUCUAUCCACCUGGUUCAACUGUGCUGGUGGAAGGUGGGUCUGAUGCAGGCGCCAGAUUUGGAGCUGGGGCUACUGCUGGCAACAUUCCUCCACCUCCUGGAUGCCCUCCCAAUGCUGCUCAGCUUGCAGUCAUGCAGGGAGACAACGUCCUCAUAACUCAGAGGAAGGGGAACUUCGUCAUGGGUGGCUCAGAUGGUGGCUACACCAUCUGGUGAAGAAUCAAGGCCACCUCUGUACCGGGAAAGACAUCACAUACCUUCAGCACUUCUCACAAUAUAACCGCUUUAGUCAUAUUAACCUGAAGUUGCAGUUUAGACACAUGUUGUUGGGGUGUCUUUCUGGUGCCCAAACUUUCAGGUAUUUUUCAAAUGUGAUAAGGAACCAUGUAAUGGUAGCAGUACCUCUCUGAAGCAUUUUGAGGUAGGGGAGUAUCCAUUCAUAAAAUGAAUGUGGGUAAAGCAGCCCUAAGGAUCUUCCUUUAAUUCUCUGGAGUAAUACUGUACCAUACUGGUCUUUUGCUUUUAGUAAUAAAACAUCAAAUUAGGUUUGGAGGGAACUUUGAUUUUCCUAAGAAUUAAACUUGCCAAAUUACUCUGA